ACCAUGGCUUCAAACAAUGUAGGUGCUGCACUUGGUGGUGAGUGCCUCAAGGAUCACUUGAGCCCAGGAGUUCUGGGCUGUAGUGCGCUAUGCCGAUUGGGUGUCCACACUAAGUUUGGUAUCAGUAUGGUGACCUCCUGAGAGUGGGGGACCACCAGGUUGCCUAAGGAGGGGUGAACUGGCCCAGGUCAGAAAUAGAGCAGGUCGAAACUUCCAUGCUGAUCAGUAGUGGGAUCGCGCCUGUGAAUAGCCACUGCACCCUAGCCAGGACAAGAUAGCAAGACCCCGUCUCUU
ensembl:misc_RNA Metazoa_SRP Metazoan signal recognition particle RNA